UACGAAGGGUGCAAGCGUUACUCGGAAUUACUGGGCGUAAAGCGUGCGUAGGUGGUUUGUUAAGUCUGAUGUGAAAGCCCUGGGCUCAACCUGGGAAUUGCAUUGGAUACUGGCAGGCUAGAGUGCGGUAGAGGAUGGCGGAAUUCCCGGUGUAGCAGUGAAAUGCGUAGAGAUCGGGGAGGAACAUCUGUGGCGAAGGCGGCCAUCUGGACCAGCACUGACACUGAGGCACGAAAGCGUGGGGAGCAAACAGGG
rnacentral:rRNA from 1 species